GGAACUAGCGGGCUUGAAGUAGCUCCCCAGGGGCCUCAGGUCUUAGCUUCAGCCACAAGCCCAGUUUUCUGCUGUUGGUAAGAGCAGCCCUACAUGUGGUCUGAGAGCUUGUGUGCUUUGCACAUCACUGACUGGAGGCUGGACCAGGUGUUCUCUGGGAAAAAAAAAGACCGAGCCGUGCCUUCAAGGAGCUGCUGCUUAGGGAGCCAAAGCUUGGCAGGGGCCAAGAGGAGACUGAUGGCAUCGUCUUAAGUUACCGGAUGACUUCACGUAUCCCGAGAGGCAGUUGCAAGGACAGUCAAUUCCCCCAGACUUUUACUUAAUGUCCUCUAUUCUACCACACCAAAAAUCCUGGUUUCUGAUACCUAUAGACGCUCUCCUUUGAUUUCCCCAUGGACAUACAUAAAGCUCUCAGCUACUUCUCCACAACUGUGCCUGCCUUCCACUCUCCCUGCCAUGAUGAUAAUGGAACAAUCGUCUGCAAUUGUGCCUGUGGACAUCAGAAGAGGACAUCAGAUCUGCUCUCAGAGCUGGAGUUACAGGAGGUUGUGUGUCGGCCAAUAUGGUUGUUGGAGAUUGAACUCAGGUCCUCCAGAAGGGCAGACUGCACUCCUAACCUCUGAGCCACCUCUCUAGCCCCUCAGAAAAACAACAACAACUUCUCCUCCUCCUCCUCCUCCUCCUCCUCCAUCUUCUUCUUCUUCUUCUUCCUCUUUUUUUCUCCUCCUCCCCCCUCCCCUCCCCCUCUCCCUCUUCCUCCUCGUCUAAAUAACAACAACACAAAUAACACAAAUAGUGUGUUUGUUUAUUGAUGAAUUUUGAAAAGUGUUUAUGAGUUCAAGAUGGCAAUCUUUUGCCAGUGAUUCACAGAUAUUUUCUCCUGUAUGUAGCAAGCAUUUUCACUCUUUUUAUCAUAUCUUCCAUAAAGAAAAAAAAAAUUAAAUUUUGAUAAAGUCUGAUUGCUGAUUUCUCUCAGGCUGUCAGUUGGUUGCUAAGGAACGGCUGCCUCAGGCAUUCAUGGUCUACUCUUUUCUUCUAGAAGUUUUAUAGUGUUAGCUUUUCCAGUUAAGUCUCUUAUUCAUUUUGAGCUAGCUUUGGUGUAUAGAGCAAGGUAUGGAUUGUAGCUCGUUUUCUUUUUGCAUUUGGAUAUCAAUUUGUUCCAUUUGUUGAAAGGAGCAUUUUCCGUUUAACAGAUUAUCAUUGUCCUUUUGACAAAACCAAUUUACCAUAUAUAUGCAUAUACAUGUGUGUGUAUCUAUAAAUGUAAAAUUGCAAUUGGUAGUCUAUAGAAAUAGAAUAAGCUUGCACACUAACUUUGUGCCCUGGAACCUUGGUAAACUCACUUUCUAUCUCUUGUAGCUUUUUGGGUAGUGUUUUGGUACAAGCAAUCAUAUUGUUAAUUAAAGAUGUUCAUUGACUU
rnacentral:lncRNA from 1 species